GAGAGUAACGAGUCUCUCUUUUUUUUCUCUCCUUCCUUUUCUCCACCUAAUCUUUUCUCCACCUAAUCUGUUCCUGCUUCCUUAUCUUCUCCGUGCGUGAGGCUCAUCCAACUCGUCAUCUGGCUCUGUCCUCAAUGGAGGCAGCCAGAGCUAUCGAGCAGCCUCAAAUUGUGACCUUUUUCCAUCGAAAAAUAAUUGCUUCCACUUCCCAUCAGAAGCCCCCAAAAUCUUGCCGCCGCCGCCAUUACUGCCGCUGUCGCCACCCAAAAUUUCUCUCGUUCACCGUCAGACCAUCCCGCACGCAGUAACAUCACCACCCUGAUUCGUUCACUGAGCAGGAAGUAGGAUGCACAAUCCACUGGAGAUGCAGCUGAUUUCGCAUCGCGGGAAGAGAUACUCCCCGAUUGCUAAAGCUUCUUCAAUCACUCGUCAAAUUCACGGCAUAAAAGCCUGCUUGGCCCCCAACCCCCGAACCCCCAAAGGAACGUCGCAUCGUUGCUGCUGGAGGCACCCCAAUCCUCCACCGGCGACGACCUUGGCCAGUUCCAACAGCAUCACCACGGUUGAGUUUGUGCCCUCACCUGUGCCAUUCGUACUUGUAUUGCUGCCGGCUUUCUUGCCGGAGUUCUUCGGUUUUGGGUGACCUGCCCAUCCUAAUCCAAGCUAGUGUAGAAGCCCUACGAUGAGAUUGGGCCAACGUUGCUAGUCCUGAGGCAAGACAUUCAGCAAAACAUUCAGGAGAUGAAGAAAAUUCAGGGCAGAUUAAAAUCAUUCGGGUUCCACACCACACAAGGCAAAUGGACCUUUGAUGUUAGCGCGAUCACCAGAGCAGCCGAUGCACAGCCAGUUGCAGGAGCUGAUGCACAACCACAACCAUCAACACCCCCUCAACGACUUGGUGGCCGUGAUGCAAAUCUUGCAAAGAACAAUAGCAAACCACCAACCAGAAGUGGGCAGCAGUUGCACACCGAAUCAAGCUGUGCCAGGGAUCUCCCUCAGAGUGAUGAUAAUGAUGAUGAUAAUGCCUUCAUGGAACCACCACCGAGGCAACCAGUUGUGAAGAAACAGUGCAUCAAUGCAACUUCCAAGCCUGCCAAGAAUCCCGUCAAGUAUGCUCAUGCACAUACUAUUCGAUGUGCGCCAUCAACAUUUAACUCGUUUGUCGACCACCUAACACUCUGGCAGCGUAGGAGAAUCAAAGUUAUGGGUUUUGGUGGACUCCUUCAUGUUUGAGCAGAGAGGUUAGAGAGCAAAGAGCUACUGAAGUUCUUGUUCGACAGGCUAGAUCCCAAAACUAUGGUACUCAAUGUUACCAAAGACAAGGGUAUCCAUGUCACCCCCUUGGUGCUAAAGCAGGUGUUUGACUUAUUGGAAGGUGGUGAAGAUAUAGAUUUGCAUACACACAUUCAAGCAUCCAAGGCGUUGUCUACUUUCAGGACUUUGUUGGGUUUAGAAGAAUCCCACGACCUGCAUGCUAGCCAUCUCCAGAAGACCUUGAAGGAUGAUCUAGAUCUGGGAUCUAGCACGAUUACUGAUGACAUGGCAAUAAGAUUUUUAUUUAUCAUUGCUUGCAACAAACUAUUGUUCCCAAGCACUGAUAAAAACAUCAGGUGCAAGGAUGUUUACCUGACUAGGGACCUGUCUUGCUUACCAGCUUUGAACUCGUGUAAGGCAGUUGUGGAUGACCUCCGAGAAGCUGCACUCACAUGGCAGGCUGACAAAGCAAAGAAAUCAUUCUCAGUAUGUGCAUUAUUACUGAUUCUUAGGAACAACAUCGAUACUUGCUACCAUACAACUCAGAACCUAUCUUCAAAUACCCCACCAAGCAUUGAACCAUUGGCCACAACAAGUUUCCCCAGUAUGCAAGCAGAACUGCGUGGUUUAGUUGAUCAGAUUAGUGGCGAGCCUAGGAAGACACAGGCAAUGCUAGCCUUGGCAAGUUUUGAUGCCAAAGCCAAGAAAGCAUCGAGCUAUGUUACCAUUGGGCAACAGAUGCUAUCGGAUGCACAUCAGGCAGCCACUCGUACUCUGCAGGCAAUUUUGAAUGAUGAGAUGGAUGGCAAUGAUAGUGAAGAUCAUGAUAAUCAACCCCACGCUUGUGAAGUAGUGAAAAUAAUAUUGUCCACUACCAUAAUAUUGAUUUACCAUUUCAAUAUUUUUGAUAUUUUAUCAUAAUGUAUGCAGCUCAAGCCAAUGACGUCGACAUGUAUGAUGGCCAGAAUGCACAGAAUGUCGGACCUGAAUAUGUAUUAGGUGGCAUAAACCAGGAGCUUAACUAGGGAGUUCCCAAAGGGGCUGCAAAGAACAAGAUUUACCACUCUCCGAGGCACUACAUGAUAGUUUUGCUUAUCACAAUGAGAAUGUUGACCUUGACAAGGAAAUGGAAGGCGACCUUUCACCCAUUUGUACUCAGGUUUACACCGACGUGACGAUUGAUCACAUCGUGCCUCCUGCUCCAGCUAAAGGAGACUCUAUCGCAGCCUCGCCAAAUAGCAUUUGCAGGAACCAAGAUCACCACAGAUGAUGCACUUGGCCCUAUUCUUUUAUAGCCUUGCACACAAGAUGAGAUCAUCCAUCGUCUAGCCAUUGCUCCGAGGCCACAACGGCUUACAAAACGACUAGCCAGGUAUGUGUCCUCUUUUAAAGGCGAUCCACAAAGAGCAAAAGCUCCACAGUUAACAGCACAUGCUGUGAGGAAAAAGUUCCACAUUGCCAUGAAAUGCAAAAGUGAUACUUUCAUCCGCAUCGGCUUGAGAGAAUUCAGUGGAUCAGAUAUAUCAGAGUCUUUCCUUGAUGGCGAGAUGCUUUCCACCCAAUUCAUGUCAUACUUCAUUGCCUGCAUGAGCUAUGAUGGAUGCCACAUGGCUGAUGGUGGUGGGUACAGGGUCUUCCUAUCUCAAGAGCUUGGGGAAUAUGUUAAUAUAAAGGAAGAUGAAGAUUUCUCUCAGUGGGAAUCACAUUAGGCGCUAGCUAUCUUACAGCGAGAUAUUGAAGAUCUUGACCCAAACAAAGUGAAACUAGAAAUUCCUUUUGCCAGUUAUGGAGGAGCACUAUAGCAUCUACUACAUCUACUUGAUUCUAGUCCAGAUGACCACACAGAUUACCACCAAGUCCUGGGUGACCGAGUUAUUUGACACCUUAAUCUCUUGUUCUAGUUGGCAACAGAUUUUGAAAUGAAGCAAUUUACUAGAUUCAAGCGUCCAAUCAUUGAUGUAUGUAUGCAUACGCACGACAAUGACUGUUGAUUCUAUGCCAUCAAAUUCAUGGAGCUACAGAACGGUGACUCUUUUCAUGUUCCAUUCCUCACAGAAAACAUUCGGCAGUAUAGGUCUCAACUCCUCUUCUAGGGUCUCUACCACAAAAUCAACGAGAUCAACAAGCUCCCUGCAGGUCUAGAAGCACACAGACGUCGCAUGUGAUCCUCGUGCCUGCUCAUUAUUAGACGAAAUAAAUAAACAAGUUCACAAGCAAACAAGUUUACUUUCCCUUCAUUUUCGAUAAAAGCCAGACAUUCUACAUGGUCGUUUGGAUAUCAUGGAUUCUAAAUAAUUUUA